rnacentral:rRNA from 1 species
GACGAACGCUGGCGGCGUGCUUAACACAUGCAAGUCGAGCGAUGAAGCUCCUUCGGGAGUGGAUUAGUGGCGGACGGGUGAGUAACACGUGGGCAACCUGCCUUAUAGAGAGGAAUAGCCAUCCGAAAGGAUGAUUAAUACCUCAUAAUAUUGUAGCUUCGCAUGGAGCAACAAUCAAAGGAGCAAUCCACUAUAAGAUGGGCCCGCGGCGCAUUAGCUAGUUGGUGAGGUAACGGCUCACCAAGGCGACGACGCGUAGCCGACCUGAGAGGGUGAUCGGCCACAUGGGGACUGAGACACGGCCCAGACUCCUACGGGAGGCAGCAGUGGGGAAUAUUGCACAAUGGGGGAAACCCUGAUGCAGCAACGCCGCGUGAGUGAUGACGGCCUUCGGGUUGUAAAGCUCUGUCUUCAGGGACGAUAAUGACGGUACCUGAGGAGGAAGCCACGGCUAACUACGUGCCAGCCGCCGCGGUAA